UCUACUUACUAGGAGAGGGAAUGAAUUCUGUGGAAAGCUGGGAAAUUAGUUCCUGGUGAGGACGGGCAGCUCAACACUACUCUGGUGUUCAUUGGGGUUGUUUUCCCAUCACUCUGCCCCGACUGGAAUCCCAGCACUGACGGAGGUAAGGAGUCCCUGAAAGUAUACCGCCAGACUCUAAUGGGAGGUGUCCGGGCAGAUGCCAGGUGCCCUACCCAUAUGUCUAAAAUUAGACAAGUUUGCAGGAAGCGAAUGAGCCUCUUAGAACAGCUAAUGGAGGCCUGUUGCACUUGUUCUUCCAUUGACUCUGAGGCCGAAGAAAACAGGAGAGCCACAAAUACUGCCUUUGUGUCCCUAUCAGCUCCCAACAUUUGAAAGGAACUAGAGGCUGGAGGGAUUUGAGGGAGAAAACCUCCCCAAAUUGAUAGAAAUGGCCAGUAAGGUCUAUAAUAACAGAAAAUCAGGAAGAUAAACAGGCAAGGAAAACUGCCAGGAUGAAAAUGGCCACUUUCCAAGAGGAACAGAGAUCUAGUCUCGGGGGCCCCAAUUCCCUCAUAGGACUUAAGAAAGACCUUCCACCACCUCAGAAACCAAUGUGUGUGUUGCAAAGAGGUGGGCCAUUGGAAACACGAGUACCCACAACACAAUAAGCCCAAGCCAAGAGUCUGCCACUUUGUAGAGGAGUAAGGGCGUUGGAGAUGUGGAGUCCCUCUCUGAGCCCAGGACAACUUAAAAGCGGAGGGAAAGCCAAUUGACUGCUUGGUUGUUACUGGGGCUCAGCUGUCAGUCUUGCCACUUCCAGAAAGACCUCUGACUAACUGACAAGCCUUUGUUCAGGGAACUACCGGGACCAAGCCUUCUCCCUGGACUGCAGCAUGACAACUGGACCUAGGAAAAGAAGCCGGGGACUAAUGACUAGAAGAGUCCAAGACCUGAAGGAGGUCAACAGGAAGGGUCAACAGCCAUUGGGACGGCAGGCUGAGUCACUGGGCACCGCAACCUACAGAUCCUGAGUGAAUAAACUGACGGAGAUACCACCUCCGUUCCUGAGAAAUCAAGUUGACUCCCUGGCUGAGGUGGUCCUACAGAACCGUCGGGGGCUGGACCCACUUUUCUUUGAGGAGGGAGGUUUAUGGAUGGCUUGGGGAGAGACACGUUGUUUUUAUGUCAACCAUUCAGAUAUUAUUAGAGAGGCUCUAACAAAAGUUAAAGAAAAUCUCUGCACUAGGGAGGAGGAAAGAAAACAAAGAACUGGUUUGAAUCACUUUUCAGCUGGUUCCCCUGGUUGACAACCCCCGUCACAGUCUAACAGGUUCCCUGAUCCUCCUCCUUGUUCUACUAUUUGCUCCUGAGUUAAAUCUGCCUCUGCACACUUAGUUCAGGAUCUCACAGGAACUGUCAAACUCACGAUUUUAAGAACCCCCAUUACACCAACCCCUUGUCUGAGACCCAACAUGAGGAUUCAUCUCAUUAGUCAU